UACGUAGGGCGCAAGCGUUGUCCGGAAUUAUUGGGCGUAAAGAGCUCGUAGGUGGCCUGUCGCGUCUGCCGUGAAAGCCCGUGGCUUAACUGCGGGUCUGCGGUGGAUACGGGCAGGCUAGAGGCUGGUAGGGGCAAGCGGAAUUCCUGGUGUAGCGGUGAAAUGCGCAGAUAUCAGGAAGAACACCAAUGGCGAAGGCAGCUCUCUGGGACGGUACUGACGCUGAGACGCGAAAGCGUGGGGAGCGAACAGG
rnacentral:rRNA from 1 species